CCUCACUAGAGUGGAUCUUUUUUGGUUGAAGGUCAAUAAUAAAUUUGCAAUAAUUAAAAUUGCUGCUAUUAAAGUAUUGCUGCUCCGCUGGUGGGGAAAAGGUUACGAAGUGGCUAUUCGUACUGGAAUAUGGCACCCGAUUCUUACAUGGACGUAAAGUGGCAAUAUAAAAUAGUUUUUUGCAACAGGUUUUAGCGAGCUUGCUGCUAGCGCAAUCGGCAAAGGCAUUGCGUGCGUGCAAAGUGAAACGAGGUCGGGUCCGGGUUUAGUUUUUGCCGUCGGUUUUCUGUUGACUUAGAAAUUUUUCUUAAAAUAUUUUUAAUUUUUUCCCCCCACUUUUUUAACUCUCAAAUAGUUUAUUAGACCUUUUAUUGGUUAGGGUUAGAGAAGGGGUUGGGGUUGGGGUCAGGUUUAUCUUAAAUAUUACGACUGCAGUAUGAAUAGCAAAUGAAACUCGGCGUACUGUUCCAGUACGAAUAGCCACGGCGAAAAGGUUAAUAUGCUCCCGCCAUAUUAUACAUAAAGCACUAGCUUUGUCACACUGGAGAACCUCCGGAGAUCUCAAUGGCAGACAAUCCAUGUUCUCACCAAAAAUGUGGCAGGCUAAAGGUUAAUCAUAAAAUUUAUAAUCUUUUUUAUUUAUUAUUAUUGCCCAAAUUACACAGCUAUCU